rnacentral:lncRNA from 1 species
GGAAGAGGCUGGCAAGGGCAUUGAAUAGAUAUGCUUCUUGCAAGAGUGAAUGAGAAAAGGUAAAAAUGAAGCUAUGGAAAUUAGUGGAGAAUGUGUACUUAGAUAAGUAUAUGCGCACACAUGUACGCAUAUACGCAGCUGUACGCAUAUGUGCCGGCCCGCCCCAAAGGGAAGACAAAUCGCCCGUCCUUACGCACAGCUAUGCAUAGAAGUCCCCAUAGGAUGUCUGAGGUGAAGACUCUCAACAUUUAAUGGUGGCAGGUAUCUCAGGAGCACGCAACACCAUCCCUAGGAGGCUGGAGCCUUUGCCUACAGAUAGCAAAACGAUAGAAGAUGACGAAGGAAAGCUGAGCCAAUGUGCCGCCGCCUCCAAACUAAAAUUAUGGAGACACUUUGCUGUGCUCUGAUGCUGCUAGCUCUGGGAAACAUGUACUGGAAGAAAAGCAGGUACUUCAAAGGUUACGUGAAGGCAAUUAAAAAGCCGAAAAAGCUU